rnacentral:rRNA from 1 species
GACGAACGCUGGCGGCGUGCUUAACACAUGCAAGUCGAACGAUGAAAGUGGAGCUUGCUCCGCUGGAUUAGUGGCGAACGGGUGAGUAACACGUGGGCAACCUGCCCCAGACUCUGGGAUAACUCCUCGAAAGAGGUGCUAAUACCGGAUACGAACUCCUUGGGCAUCCUUGGAGUUGGAAAGCUUUUCGGUCUGGGAUGGGCCCGCGGCCUAUCAGCUUGUUGGUGGGGUAGUGGCCCACCAAGGCGACGUCGGGUAGCCGGCCUGAGAGGGCGACCGGCCACACUGGGACUGAGACACGGCCCAGACUCCUACGGGGGGCAGCAGUGGGGAAUAUUGCGCAAUGGGCGAAAGCCUGACGCAGCGACGCCGCGUGAGGGAUGACGGCCUUCGGGUUGUAAACCUCUUUCAGCAGGGAAGAAGCGAAAGUGACGGUACCUGCAGAAGAAGCACCGGCUAACUACGUGCCAGCCGCCGCCGUAA